ACCAUAGGUAGCGAGCAACACUUGAUGUGUAAAAAGUUUGCACCUAAACAAGAAAACGAGUCCCCAAAUUCUCACACCUACUGAUAUAAUCUGUCAUUUAAAAUCUGUACAAGAAAACGGUGGACACUCUUAUCAAUUGGUUUCCCAUUAUAGUGCUGCCAGCAAUAAUCAUAUCCCUCUGAUGGUGUCCUUACAGAACUGGUGACUUACAGACUUCUUCCUACCCAUGUAGGAUACAUUUGAGAAAGUAGUAAACUCUUUCAGCAUGGCGUAUCAAUGCCUGAUGCCGAUCAUUCCCAGUUUACUUCUAAUUACCUUCAGGGCAAAAUGUAUGUUCAAGGCAAGAGGGGGAAUAGGGAG
rnacentral:lncRNA from 1 species